UACGGAGGGGGCUAGCGUUGUUCGGAAUUACUGGGCGUAAAGCGCACGUAGGCGGCUUUGUAAGUUAGAGGUGAAAGCCCAGGGCUUAACCCUGGAAUUGCCUUUAAGACUGCAUCGCUAGAAUCGUGGAGAGGUGAGUGGAAUUCCGAGUGUAGAGGUGAAAUUCGUAGAUAUUCGGAAGAACACCAGUGGCGAAGGCGACUCACUGGACACGUAUUGACGCUGAGGCACGAAAGCUAGGGGAGCAAACAGG
rnacentral:rRNA from 1 species